rnacentral:rRNA from 1 species
ACUGCUCAGUAACACGUCACUAACCUGCCCUAAGAUUCGGGAUAACCUUGGAAAACUGAGGCUAACACCGGAUAGGAAAUGAUGUCUGGAACGGCGCAUUUCUCAAAGGCAACGUCUUAGGAUGGGGUGGCGGCCGAUUAGGCUGUUGGCGGGGUAAUGGCCCACCAAACCUGUGAUCGGUACGGGCCCUGAGAGGGGUAGCCCGGAGAAGGACACUGAGAUACCGGUCCUAGCCCUACGGGGUGCAGCAGGCGCGAAACCUUUGCACUGCACGAAAGUGUGAUAAGGGAAUCCCAAGUGCUCACGCUAAGCGUGGGCUUUUGCCAAGGGCAGGAUCCUUGGCGAAUAAGUGGUGGGCAAGACUGGUGCCAGCCGCCGCGGUAACACCAGCGCCACAAGUGGGAGUCGCUUUUAUUGGGCCUAAAGCGUCCGUAGCCGGUCCUGUAAAUCCUUUGUGAAAUCGUAGGGCUCAACCUUACGGCGUGCAGAGGACACUGCAAGACUAGGAACCGGGAAGAGCUGGAGGUAUUCUUGGGGGAGCGGUAAAAUGUUAUAAUCCCAAGAGGACCACCUGUGGCGAAGGCGUCCAGCUAGAACGGAUUCGACGGUGAGGGUCGAAAGCCAGGGGAGCGAACCGGAUUAGAUACCCGAGUAGUCCUGGCCGUAAACGCUGCGAGCAAGGUGUUGCACAUUCUUUGAGAAUGUGCAGUGUCGAAGCGAAGGCAUUAAGCUCGCCGCCUGGGAAGUAUAGCCGCAAGGCCGAAACUUAAAGGAAUUGGCGGGGGAGCAC